rnacentral:misc_RNA from 1 species
GAUGAAGAACGUAGCGAAAUGCGAUAAGUAAUGUGAAUUGCAGAAUUCAGUGAAUCAUCGAAUCUUUGAACGCACAUUGCGCCCGCCAGUAUUCUGGCGGGCAUGCCUGUUCGAGCGUCGUUUCGACCAUCAAGCCCCCGGCUUGUGUUGGGGACCUGCGGCUGCCGCAGGCCCUGAAAACCAGUGGCGGGCUCGCUAGUCACUCCGAGCGUAGUAAUACAUCUCGCUCAGGGCGUGCUGCGGGUUCCGGCCGUUAAAAAGCCUUAUUUACCCAAGGUUGACCUCGGAUCAGGUAGGAAGACCCGCUGAACUUAAGCAUAUCAAUAAGCGGAGGA